rnacentral:rRNA from 1 species
GUGCAGCAGUCGCGAAUACUCCGCAAUGCGGGCAACCGCGACGGGGCUACCCCGAGUGCCGGGCGAAGAGCCCGGCUUUUGCCCGGUCUAAAAAGCCGGGAGAAUAAGCGGGGGGCAAGUCUGGUGUCAGCCGCCGCGGUAAUACCAGCUCCGCGAGUGGUCGGGGUGUUUACUGGGCUUAAAGCGCCCGUAGCCGGCCCGGCAAGUCGCUCCUGAAAUCCCAGGGCUCAACCCUGGGGCGGGGGGCGAUACUGCCGGGCUAGGGGGCGGAAGAGGCCGCCGGUACUCCGGGGGUAGGGGCGAAAUCCGUUAAUCCCCGGAGGACCACCAGUGGCGAAAGCGGGCGGCCAGAACGCGCCCGACGGUGAGGGGCGAAAGCCGGGGGAGCAAAGGGGAUUAGAUACCCCUGUAGUCC